GUUGUGGUUCAAAGUAGACAACAUCUGGUAUUUCCAUUGGUUUAUCGGCUCAUCAGACUUGCAUUGACAUUACCGGUGGCAACUGCAUCAGUUGAGAGGGUUUUCUCAGCCAUGAAUAUUAUAAAUACUGAUCUUCGAAACAAGAUGGGUGACAAUUGGCUUAAUGAUUUGAUGGUUUGCUUUGUUGAGCGCAAGAUAUUUGCUAAAAUUAGUGAUAAAGAGAUUAUGGUUCAUUUUCAUGCCUUGAAGAGCCGUCGAGGUCAUCUACUAGUUUUAAAUAGUCUUUUCAUCCUUUUGUUGUUGAAUGCUAUGAGUUUUGGUUGA
rnacentral:rRNA from 1 species